rnacentral:rRNA from 1 species
GACAGAGGCCUCAAGCGUUAGGCGGAAUCACUGGGCUUAAAGCGUGUGUAGGCGGACUUCUAAGUGCCUUGUGAAAUCCCACGGCUCAACCGUGGAACUGCUGGGCAUACUGGGGAGUCUUGGGCCAUUCAGGGGCAACUGGAACAAGCGGUGGAGCGGUGAAAUGGCGUAGAUAUCGGGAGGAACACCUGUGGCGAAAGCGGCUCACUGGACCACAACUGACGCUGAGGCGCGAAAGCGUGGGGAGCAAACAGG